rnacentral:rRNA from 1 species
UGGCGGCAGGCCUAACACAUGCAAGUCGAACGGUAACAGGAAGCAGCUUGCUGCUUCGCUGACGAGUGGCGGACGGGUGAGUAAUGUCUGGGAAACUGCCUGAUGGAGGGGGAUAACUACUGGAAACGGUGGCUAAUACCGCAUAACGUCGCAAGACCAAAGAGGGGGACCUUCGGGCCUCUUGCCAUCAGAUGUGCCCAGAUGGGAUUAGCUUGUUGGUGAGGUAACGGCUCACCAAGGCGACGAUCCCUAGCUGGUCUGAGAGGAUGACCAGCCACACUGGAACUGAGACACGGUCCAGACUCCUACGGGAGGCAGCAGUGGGGAAUAUUGCACAAUGGGCGCAAGCCUGAUGCAGCCAUGCCGCGUGUAUGAAGAAGGCCUUCGGGUUGUAAAGUACUUUCAGCGGGGAGG